rnacentral:rRNA from 1 species
UACGGAGGGUGCGAGCGUUGUCCGGAAUCAUUGGGCGUAAAGGGCGCGUAGGUGGCGGGACAAGCGUGCGGUGAAAGCCUGGGGCUCAACCCCGGGUCGGCCGUGCGAACUGUUUUGCUUGAGCACUGUAGAGGCAGGCGGAAUUCCGGGGUGUAGCGGUGGAAUGCGUAGAUAUCUGGAGGAACACCGGUGGCGAAGGCGGCAUCCUGGACCGGCAUUGACGCUGAGGCGCGAAAGCUAGGGGAGCAAACGGGG